rnacentral:lncRNA from 1 species
AAUGCCUUUCGCCGCGCCGGCGCCGAGCAUGCGCAGCCACCGCCUCCGCGCGCCCGAGCAGGGGGGGCGAGGGGCCGCCCGCCCCUUCCCCGCCGCCGCCGGGAACGCGGGGAAGGCGGUGCGGUGCCGCCCCGCCCCGCCGCCGCCACGGCCCCUCGGCGGAGAGCGCCCGCCUGCCAGGAGGAGGUGGGCGGGGAGGCCGUGAGGAGGCGGUAGGGGCGGCGGGGCCGAGGGGGCGGUAGCUGCCGUUGGCGCGGCGGGCGGCAGGUCUACACCCUCUUCCUUCACCUUCUAUGGUAGGACGUGUUCCCUCCUCCGCCGUCAGCACGCUGCCUGCUCUGACACCGCUCUGCCUCCUUAACCCUGCCGCCGUCUCUCCCUGUCCUGGCAGUGAACCGGUCCAUGAAGUAAAAGUAGCUUCCUCUCUGUGCUAAAGGUGAUAAUGAUAAUGAACUGCUUCUUCAGAAGUCUAUCAAGACAGCAGUAUGAACAAAUACUAAAUCAAUCGCUGCUAGUCAACCUGAAAGUCAGGGUGGAUCCCUUCCUAUCUCAGCUCUCGCAGCCUCUGAAAUUAAAUGGAAGAAAACUUAGAUUUUUUUUUCCCCCCAUAAGCACAACUGGAAGGUGUCCAGUAACCACCAAUAUUCUCCUGUUUGUAUUGAAGGUCUUUGCCCUCACCAUGUCAAGGAGCGUUAAUGAUGUGUUCCCUCUCCGCUGCAUUCCCCACCUGUCAUCU